AGAAUUGGUCAAUGAAGUCCUUGAAACAGAUAUUGCGAGGGAGAAGUUGGCUGAAUAUGUUGAAGAGCGGCAGGUACUCUUAGCAACAAAGAGGGGGGAAGCACUGGAGGAGGGCAGGAAAAAAAGAGAAAAGGAACAGUUGAAGGCCAAAUCUGUUGCUAAUGGAGUAAUGAAUGGGCAUGGUGCUGAUAUCAUAGGAAAAAAUCAACCUGUGUUGGCAAAUGGGAAUCACAUCGGCCAGAAUGGGCAGAUCGCAAAAAAGAAGGGAGAGAUCUUCUCAGCCAGACCAAACA
rnacentral:lncRNA from 1 species